GGGGGCGAUCGGUUUCGACGGGUUUGAGGUCCCUCAGGAAGCGAGCCGAGUUUCCACCUACUCGUAAACCAAGGUGGAGCACAAAUAAGUGCCAAAGAAGAACUUGCCGCUGCUUGACAGAAUGAGCAGCCGUCCUUGCUGGGUUUGAUCGGGGCUCAGUAUAGGGCGUAAGAUCACCGAUCGGACAUCCAAAGUUUUGCCUUUUCGGCUUUGGAUGGCAUGUUAGAAGAGGCUAGGGUAGUGCACCUGUCCGUGGGUUACACUACCCGACAUUAAAAACACGGACUGCGCUCGGAGAUGUCUGAGGGCACUCACUCUCGGACGGGGGUUCGAUUCCCCCCGCCUCCACCA
rnacentral:tmRNA from 1 species